rnacentral:rRNA from 1 species
GUAAGUUCCGACCCGCACGAAAGGCGUAAUGAUUUGGGCACUGUCUCAACAAUGCACCCGGUGAAAUUGAAAUACCAGUGAAGAUGCUGGUUACCUGCGCCAGGACGGAAAGACCCCAUGGAGCUUUACUCCAGCUUGAUACUGGGAUUCGAUAUUGCAUGUACAGGAUAGGUGGGAGACGAGGAACACAUAACGCCAGUUGUGUGGGAGUCGCUGUUGGGAUACCACCCUUGCAGUAUUGGGUUUCUAACCAGCAGCCGUGAUCCGGCUGGGGGACAAUGUCAGGUGGGGAGUUUGACUGGGGCGGUCGCCCCCGAAAGG